UCGUACUAGUCGGGGAGGCAGCGGUGCCCUGUACUUGCAACCCGCUAUAGCAAGGAUGAAUUCCCUUUUUCGGGUGGUCUAUUUUACGGUCUGGCUUAUGUAAGUGAUGAUGAGAAGUGGGUCUUGUGCAACGUAUCAGGUGUGAACCUCGUCAGGUCGGGAACGAAGCAGCGAUAAGUACCAGGGUGCGUGUGCCGCAAGGGUGCCUACUUUGAGUUAACUGCAUAUGCAUCGCGUAGGAUAGCCAUUCAACAUUGGGUGUACGG
rnacentral:SRP_RNA from 1 species